UUAAAUUGAAGAGUUUGAUCAUGGCUCAGAUUGAACGCUGGCGGCAGGCCUAACACAUGCAAGUCGAGCGGUA
rnacentral:rRNA from 2 species